rnacentral:rRNA from 1 species
AUGGCGCACGGCGCACGGGUGCGUAACACGUGGGCAAUCUGCCCUCCGGUGGGGAAUAACCCCGCGAAAGCGGGGCUAAUUCCGCAUAACAUUCCCUGGACUCUGGUUUGGGGAUUCAAAGCAGCAAUGCGCCGGAGGAGGAGCCCGCGCCCGAUUAGCUAGUUGGUGAGGUAACGGCUCACCAAGGCAAUGAUCGGUAGCUGGUCUGAGAGGAUGGCCAGCCACACUGGAACUGAGACACGGUCCAGACUCCUACGGGAGGC